rnacentral:rRNA from 1 species
UACGUAGGGGGCUAGCGUUGUCCGGAAUCAUUGGGCGUAAAGCGCGCGUAGGCGGCCAGAUAAGUCCGGUGUGAAAGUCACAGGCUCAACCUGUGAAUGCCGCUGGAAACUGUCUGGCUUGAGUCCGGAAGGGGCGAGUGGAAUUCCUGGUGUAGCGGUGAAAUGCGCAGAUAUCAGGAGGAACACCAAUGGCGAAGGCAGCUCGCUGGAACGGUACUGGACGCUGAGGCGCGAAAGCGUGGGGAGCGAACAGG